rnacentral:rRNA from 1 species
AAGAUGUCAGCAACGGAUCUCGAGCUUCCGGCAUCGAUGAAGAACGCAGCAAAAUGCGAUAAGUAAUGUGAAUUGCAGAAUUCAGUGAAUCAUCGAAUCUACGAACCCUCAUUCCGUCCGCCAGUAUUUUGGCGGGCAUGCCUGUCCGAGGGUCAUUU